AGGGUUCGAUUAUGGCUCAGAACGUACGCUGGCGGCACGCCUAAUACAUGCAAGUCGAACGGGGUAGCAAUACCUAGUGGCAGACGGGUGAGUAACAUGUGGGUAUCUUCCCUUUGGUGAGGAAUAACACGAGGAAACUUGUGCUAAUACCUCAUAAGUCUUUACGGAGAAAGCUUUAUGCGCCAAUGGAUGAGCCUGCACUUGAUUAGUUAGUUGGUGGGGUAAAGGCCUACCAAGACAUUGAUCAAUAGCUGAUUUGAGAGGAUGAUCAGCCACAUUGGGACUGAGACACGGCCCAAACUCCUACGGGAGGCAGCAGUAGGGAAUCUUGCACAAUGGAGGAAACUCUGAUGCAGCGAUGCCGCGUGAGUGAAGAAGGCCCUUGGGUUGUAAAGCUCUUUCGUCGGGGAAGAAAAUGACUGUACCCGAAUAAGAAGGUCCGGCUAACUUCGUGCCAGCCGCCGCGGUAAUU
rnacentral:rRNA from 1 species